rnacentral:rRNA from 1 species
AGAGACAGCAGUCGCCGCGGUAAAACGUAGGGGGCAAGCGUUAUCCGGAAUUACUGGGUGUAAAGGGAGCGUAGACGGUUAAACAAGUCUGAAGUGAAAUGCCGGGGCUCAACCCCGGAGCUGCUUUGGGAACUGUAGAACUGGAGUGUCGGAGGGGUAAGCGGAAUUCCCAGUGUAGCGGUGAAAUGCGUAGAUAUUGGGAGGAACACCGGCGGCGAAGGCGGCUUACUGGACGACAACUGACGUUGAGGCUCGAAGGCGUGGGUAGCAAACAGGAUUAGAUACCCCUGUAGUCCCUGUCUCUUAUAC